UUCCGAAUUUCGCAAAGACGCUUCCCUGCAUUUAUUCACGCAAAAAACGCCUCAAAAUCAACAUGCCCUGCUCUUUAUUAUGGACAGAGAGGAGCAUAAUAUCGCUGGUCGAGAAAAUGAGGGAAUUUCCCUGCAUCUGGGACUCCGAAUGCCCAGAAUUUAAGGAAAAUAUCAAGAAUGCGGAUUCCCACCAUCACAUACUAUCAUACAUAUGAGUUCGUCGAGAUGGAAAACCUCACACCAGAUCUUGCAAAGAAUAAAUUUAAUCAUUUGAGGACAUAUCACCAAUGAGACCUGAAGAAGAUGGAAAAUACGCCUGGGGGAUCAGCUGGCCAGCCAAACUCCAUAUGGAAGUACUUUGACAACUGCUCCUACAUGCAACCAACGAAGUAUUUGAGCGGUAAAAGUAAUUUGAAACUCCCUUUAAGAACAGAGAGAUGCACACUACCAAUGCAACCAUCCUUGAGAAUGCACCAAAAGAAGAAAAUGCAUCUGUUGUCAUAAAAGAAGAGUCUUCUGGAGAUCCCAUUGAAGGUGUUCCACUUGUUAAAGUAGAGGAGCUCGUAGAAUCACCUGCAGUUUUAAAUACUUCUCCCUGUUCGCCAUCACCACCAGCUAUUCCAUCAUGUUCUCGGUCACCGUCACCACCACCAGUGCUUGCUUCCACCUCAACAUGUAGAGGAAAAGCAGGUGGCAGGUGCAAUAAGAAAAGAGAGGCAGAAAGUGCGUUGGAUGCGUCUAUUAACAAAAUUAAUGAAAUUGUAGAAAGGGAACUUGAUAGGCAGAGAGCGAAACAAGCUAAGAGUGACAUAGGUGAUGUUCUGGAAUUGAUGUUUAAUACACUAAGUGAAGGAAUGUGUCCAGCUUCUAAAGAUGAGUACUUUAGGGCUAGCAUGCAAUUUCUGCUUGACUAUAAAAAUAAGUGCCAACAAAAGAGACUUUGUCAAGGAGGAGGCCCUUCAACCGCAUAAGUGCAAUGUGUCCUGGUUGUGAUUUAAUCUUAUUCAGUUUACUGAUAGAGUUUACAUUGUUUUAAUUAUUCCACAUUGGUUUUAUAUGUCAUCAUAUAUUUAUGAAUAGUUGUCCCUCUCAAUCAUACUUUACAUAUGGUCUUUAUUGAAUUUUCUAAACUGAGAAGAUGCAUAAUACCAUCUCAGUCCCAUGCUUAUUAUCAUCAUAGAGACAGAGAAUGAGGCCCAAUGUGGGGGAUUCCCCCUGCCUUGGACCUCAGCCCUCGCCUCAACUAAUUUUGCAUGGUCUUUUCUCCUCCUCCUUUCCAUUUCAUUCUUUUCUUCAUCCCCUUCUUCUGUCCACAUCCCAGAGUGUGUGAGCCGUGUGAAAAGGAUGAAAAACUGUUUUUUGUCUAGCAUAUUUUGUAAUAAUUAACAAUUUUUUAUUCUUUUUGCCCAAUACUUUUAUCAUAAUGCUGUAUGAACUUUUGUUACCGGGGCUUUGCUCAUAAGCCUUACUCUAUUGCUAUAUUUUGUAUAUGCCACUAAUGUCAUGAGAUGUUGAAGUGGCAGAAAAUGUUUAAUAAAUAAAUAAUACCAAUAUAUUUCCUUGUGCAAUUCAUUGUUCAAAUUCUCUAGAAAUCUUAAUGAAAGGAUAACAUCGCAGUGAAUGAAAAGGACACAGGCAUGGUUGCAAAAUAUAUGGUGCACCUUAAAGUACUGAAAAUAAAUGUAAUCGUCCAUGGUCUAUCCAUAAUAAACCAAAAUGUGUCAGGAUCCAAAUAGGGUGAACUUCCUGGAAUAUGGCCGGUUGUGGAUACACAUUUACCUGAACAGAGGUCCAUCACUAUUCAGGUGUAUUUCUCGAAACAUAUAAUUGAUACAAGUUUAUAUAUAUAUCUCU